rnacentral:rRNA from 1 species
UACGGAAGGCAGCAGUGGGGAAUAUUGCACAAUGGGCGCAAGCCUGAUGCAGCCAUGCCGCGUGUAUGAAGAAGGCCUUCGGGUUGUAAAGUACUUUCAGUCGUGAGGAAGGUGUUAAGGUUAAUAACCUUAGCAAUUGACGUUAGCGACAGAAGAAGCACCGGCUAACUCCGUGCCAGCAGCCGCGGUAAUACGGAGGGUGCGAGCGUUAAUCGGAAUUACUGGGCGUAAAGGGCACGCAGGCGGUUAAUUAAGUUGGAUGUGAAAUCCCCGGGCUUAACCUGGGAAUGGCAUUCAAGACUGGUUAGCUAGAGUCUUGUAGAGGGGGUAGAAUUCCAUGUGUAGCGGUGAAAUGCGUAGAGAUGUGGAGGAAUACCGGGUGGCGAAAGGCGGCCCCUGGGACAAAGACUGACGCUCAUGUGCGAAAGCGUGGGGAGCAAACAGGAUUAGAUACC